UAUCUCGGCAACCGUAGUGGAAAGUGCAGCUUAAAGCGCAGUGAAAGAAGGAAGAAAAGAUGGUGAAGUGAAAAUUUAUAAUCAGCCGUGCCCAUUACGGUUAGUUUCUGGAAUAAUGGAGCUGCUGCUACUUUUACUUUGAUUAGUUGCUGGAAUGAGUAUUAGAACAACUGCAUUUAGUUUGUUACUCGUGUUUAAAGCAUUGGUUGCCGAAAGUGAUGAGCUGCAGUUGGAAGAUUCGAGAAAAGUUUAAAUCAAAAAUGGCGGAUCUGUUCCACGCCUCGUGAAGGAAAUCGUGAACAGAAUAUUCUCGAUUAUAUAAUUCAACUGCACCGAAAUGAAUCGUUUGCGAUGUAAACUGGUGCGGUUUUAAACCAUUCUAUAAGAAUUAUCUAGCAGAAUCCAGGACUAAUGUCGAUUAUAGUGCAGUGGAAAGAUCGAUACCCAAAGAUCUUGAGCUUUUAUUCGGAAAAAGUGUCUGCAAAAUGACUACCGCAACUGGAGGUGAGCGUUUUCCAAGAUGGCGUCAGUCAGCAGCCUUGGUGAGGUUAUGUCUGCUGACUCAUCACAAAUUUGUAAUGGCGUAUGGGCAUGCGCUCAGUCAUGCUCCGGGCGGUGAAGGUACCUAACCUCAAAAGCACGUGGAUCCAACUGAACUGUGAUUUCUUUCAAAUUCUAUUUCAAUUUUUUUUAAGUUUAAAAGAGAAGCCACCACCGUAAGUUCUUUUUAAGUUCUAUUUCUAUUAUUUUUACGAUUUUGUUUUCGAGUUUAAAAGAUUAGCCAUCACUGUAAAUUCUUUUUAAGUUCUAUUUCUAUUAUUUUUGCGAAACCGAGAUUCUUCGGUUAACAGAAAACACAUGCCACUAGAAUUUCUCUAUAUAUUUCUAUUUACAAUUCGUAUAAAUAACAGAAACCACUGGAAUUUCUCUAUAUAUUUCUAUUUACAAUUCGUAUAAGCAACAGAAACCACUAGAAUUUCUCUAUAUAUUUCUAUUUACAAUUCGUAUAAGAAUUUUGAGAACCAACACUGUAAGUUCUUUUUAAGUUCUAUUUCUAUUAUUUUUGCGAACGUGGAUGACGUGAAACGCAAACAACAUGCCAAGGUUCCAAAUCACUGUAGUUUCUCAAUAUUUUCUAUUUCCUAUUCGUAUCAGAAAAAAAGUCAAACCACUAGAAUUUCUCAAUAUUUUCUAUUUCCUAUUCGU